GACGAACGCUGGCGGCGUGCUUAACACAUGCAAGUCGAACGAAGAGCGAUGGAAGCUUGCUUCUAUCAAUCUUAGUGGCGAACGGGUGAGUAACGCGUAAUCAACCUGCCCUUCAGAGGGGGACAACAGUUGGAAACGACUGCUAAUACCGCAUACGAUCUAACCUUGGCAUCGAGGAUGGAUGAAAGGUGGCCUCUAUUUAUAAGCUAUCACUGAAGGAGGGGAUUGCGUCUGAUUAGCUAGUUGGAGGGGUAACGGCCCACCAAGGCGAUGAUCAGUAGCCGGUCUGAGAGGAUGAACGGCCACAUUGGGACUGAGACACGGCCCAGACUCCUACGGGAGGCAGCAGUGGGGAAUCUUCCGCAAUGGACGAAAGUCUGACGGAGCAACGCCGCGUGAGUGAUGACGGCCUUCGGGUUGUAAAGCUCUGUUAAUCGGGACGAAAGGCCUUCUUGCGAACAGUUAGAAGGAUUGACGGUACCGGAAUAGAAAGCCACGGCUA
rnacentral:rRNA from 1 species